rnacentral:rRNA from 1 species
AUUGAACGCUGGCGGCAGGCCUAACACAUGCAAGUCGAACGAGUGGCGGACGGGUGAGUAAUGUCUGGGAAACUGCCCGAUGGGGGGGGAUAACUACUGGAAACGGUAGCUAAUACCGCAUACCAUCGGAUGUGCCCAGAUGGGAUUAGCUAGGAGGUGGGGUAACGGCUACCCUAGGCGACGAUCCCUAGCUGGUCUGAGAGGCUGACCGGCCAGAAUGGAACUGAGACACGGUCCAGACACCUACGCGAGGCAGCAGUGUGGAAUAUUGCACAAUGGGCGCAAGCCUGAUGCAGCCAUGCCGCGUGUAUGAAGAAGGCCUUCGGGUUGUAAAGUACUUUCAGCGAGGAGGCGUUACUCGCAGAAGAAGCACCGGCUAACUCCGUGCCAGCAGCCGCGGUAAUAC